GAGUUUGCUGCGUUUUCUGUGCCCUUUGCCUCGCUGUGACAUCUUUGGUAGUUUCCAACUUGUUGCUCGCUCUUUAUGGGCUACUCAUUGCCUGGAAGAUCACCAUGAUCGCCUCCGACUCAGCCACAUCGAAGAAUCAAAAUGAGCCUGGAGACGCCACAGCCGGAAUGCGAAAGGUUGGAGAAGUGCUCAUUCAGAUGAUCCUGGCACAGCUUGCCAUGGUGGACCAGGCAAGUUUGCAAGGGCCUUGAUUCACCAUGUGUUGACAGAGAAGAACCUCAUGGGACACUCACUCCUCAGAAACGACACCACCAAUAGGCAAAAAGAGGCUCUUGGCCUUAUCAGUGUCAACGCUGUUAUAGGCUUUACAUGUCACAAGUUUCCUGGGACAAACAUGGCCUACAUUAAGAACACUCUCGCCUCUCUUCUUGCAAGGGACCUGAAGUGUCCAGAAGAGCCCAAGUCUGUGGACAGUUCAAGUGUUGUGCACUUGUAUCCCUCAACAUUUUUUAUUAUUAUGGUGUUUCUAGUCACCUGAAAAGCCUAGGUUGGAUGGUUCAGACAAAGUACUGUGUUGUGAUUAAAAAUUAAUUGCACA